GUUCUGCUUCCUUCUUAGGCCUAACUUGACGUUACUCCUUCUGCCAAAGUGACAGCUCCUGGGUGACGUGUGACACAGUAGAGCCAAGAUAUGGCAUGUGUUUUCUCCAGCUGCACCGUUCUCCAGGAAGAGGCUUAGCAGAAUCUCUGAAUGCAUUUACAUGACUGGAAAGCUGUUUUAGCAAAAAUGUUUGAACCUGAAGUGUGAUUCAUAUUCCAACAGACUGAUUUGUGCUUUCCCCAGAGACUACCAGGCUUUUAUGGCAUCCUAUGGGAUUCCAAGUCCCACCAGCUGAAAAUGGCAUAUACUGACUUUCCAGAGUUGUCUCCAAGUUGUAAUGGACAACCUCUCUCCUGCUAUCGGAGCCCAGAGAGAAAUAAACCAAGACCACCAGCUAAGACAUUACGUAAUUGCCAUGGAUAUGAGCAUUGAAUGCCCUCAGGAAUUACUUACAAAGGAAACUGGAAACUCCAUGGCAUCUCUGUCAUCUUUCCCUUCAGAUGCUGCCUCCAAACCUCUUCUGAAGGACCUUGUGCAAAGCAGAGCAUGGCAAGAAAAAAUCAUCACAGCUCCAAUCAGUGAACGUACUAUCAAUUAAUACCAGAACCAUGGAGGAAGCCCUGGAUCUAGAUGCAUUGCCCCAGCCAGCUUUGCCAGUUCAAAAGAGUCUCCAGGAAAAGGGUAGAGCUUCUUCUGCAAGGCAGCCAGUCAUCUCCUGCAUCAAGCCCAGCUGUCAGGAGUUCUGCCCUCUGCAUUCCCACUAAAGCUUUUAUGCUAAGUCCUUAUAGAGCUGAAUAAACCUUGUUGAAACUUGAUUACAUGUUGUAUUAAAAACACAUCUGGAAAGGACAUUUCUCACAGUCCCCGACCAUUGAACUGCUGCGGUUUAAUUGUGUGAAACUGAGUUUCAGGAUUCAAGAUCUUGCGCAGAUUGUUCUGCAAUAAAUUCUUCAGAUUCAGCAACAUCAGCAGGAGGGAAGGCCACGGAUGUCAAACUAACCCCACCUCAGCAGCCAGUUGUGCCGUCAUGUGAAAAAAGGAUUCUUCUUUCUGUAUCAGCCAGGGUUUUCCCAGCAGCCAGCCCUGUUGUACAGGUAGAAUCAGCAGUUGAUGUUACACAUAAAGACAAGCCAACAAGACCUUGCGCAGCUGAAACAAGCCUGAAAGUAGCGAUUUACUUACAUUCCAAAUAAAGAGGCCAGGGCAAUAGCUUGGAGUAAGCUGCAGUUUAUCUCCCAGUGAUGUCUUCAGUCUUUAAAGUUUCUUGAGCACCUCUGCUAUGCUUCUCAAGAAAAUUACCUGGACAAUAAAGCGUGGGACAUCAAGAUGGUAUUGCCAGUUCUGUUUCCCUCUGCACUGUGGAGCUGGAUUCAUGUCAGCAGGUAUUCAAGAAACAAAGUUCAGAGCAACACUGGAGAAGCAAAAGAAAAAACACAUCUGCAGGGGAAGAAGCACCAGGGUCUCUGCUUGAUGGAGGAAUUUCCAGAAGGACCCAGCCUGAGAGCACCCAUGUGCCUGCCCGGCCUCAGAUUUAUUUGUUGAGUCAGCUGCAGCACCUCUGCUGUCACUGAAAGCUGGCAGAAGGAUCAAUGACAAGUUGCCCCAAGAUAAGGAAGGCACGGGCUGCUCAGUAGCACUUUGAGAAGCAUCUCCCAUGACGGAUCUGCACCAAAGCUGAUUUUCAUUCCUCUUUGUCAAGGAAGAGGCUAAACUUUGGAGUUGUGUCAAGUCUAUUUUUAUGAUACUAAAAUCUCCCUGGGAAUUAUACGACUCUCUCUUUGGCUGCUUCAGGAAGUGUGGAUUAUAGAUCAGUCAUUUUAAGCCAGCUGACCUCAGCUACCAUCAGUGACAGGUUGCUUCUGGCUGUGUUGAGUUGAACCCUCCAAAGACAGAAAUUCCCCAAGCUCAGCUGAAUGCUGAUUCCUGCAAUGCACAGUAUGAAGGUACCUGGGAACAACAAGACAUCGGCUGAGAAUAAGAAGCCCAGUUCAACACAACGCUCUGCACAAUCCCAUGCUUGGACUGAGCAUGUUCCUGGGAAGCAAGGCACAGUUUUGUUAAGCCAGCAAAGCUGCACCCAGUUGCCUCGGGAGUUAAUCCGACAGCUUCACUGCAAGGGACUAACUCAGAAGCUUCUUCAUCUCCUCUGGUGCCCAUGCACAGCACCUCACCUGGUGAUGGUCUAACCCUGAGAAGCAUCUUUCACAAUCACCUCAGAAGACAGCGUUGUAUGCCACAGUGGUCCCUCUACUGCUGUGAGCAGCUACACCACGUAGCUCUGGAGCAGUGGUCUAACAGCUUACCUGAGGAGAGCUGAGGUAAGUCAUUGACUGAGAUACCUGGGUGCCAGAUGCUUAGUGGUCAGAUACAUUCAGCUGAAUAAAGCCUGUCUACAUAUGAGGAAAAGAAUUAAGCAUUGACGUUGCCAUUAUCAAAUUCAUCUCCUCACUAAAAGACAAAGUCAAAAAUAUCAAGCUUUGAAGCAAAUUACCUUAAAAUGGCGUGGUUAGGUAAAUAAAAAAGCAGCUAGCUAAGUCCUCAUGGAGUCUGCUUAAAGGCACAAUAAAGGUUUAGUGUAAAUGUAUAUCAUUAAAUAGCCUCUUUAAAUAUGAAAAGCAGUUAUGUCAAAAGGGCAGAGAAACACGGUUGUCAGGAGUAAAAAGCCACCCUUCAAAAAGUAAGUCAGUUCUAAUGGAGAAAAUAGACAAAAGAAUAAACUUGGAGAUAUUAAUGAAAACCACAAAAAAUAGGUCUCCAUCAUUUUGAAGAGUGACUUACUAAACAUACAAACCUAAUUAAACUGUCUUCAGUUACCUCAGACUCUAGAAGGCUGCUGGUGAACUGGUGCUUCCAGCACAUAACAGAGGUGCAGAAGGAGCAGUUCUGGAAGAGAAAGCAGGAAACACAGAUGUGUUAUUUGUGCCAGUAAUCAGCAAAGGAAGACUGGGACGUUCCCAUACAAGACCAACAGCAUCUCCAGGACUGCAUCAGAUUUAAGUGUCAAACAAGUACGACACUCGGAGCAGAGGGUAUUCACUCAAAAUUUCCAAACAAACUCAGAUAUGAAAUUGCCAGUAAUGACUCUUCAUAAUCAUUUAUUUUGCACUGAGCUCAGUACCACAGGUAGGGAAAAGAAAGACCGAAACCUGUGAGAAAGGCUCCAGAGGAAGCCUGAGAACUAGGAACUGGUGAAGCUGACCUCUGCAGCAAAUUGGUACAAGUUGUAAAGAAAAAUCAAAUUCACCAAUAUAGGGAAAAAUACAUCCCUCAGAGAGGGGUCCACCUGAUGUUUGUAGAAGCCAGACAUGCCUCCCAAACCUACUAGAGCUCUGUAGAAAAAUCGGCAUGUUGUGCUUUAUGAAGAAAACCCAGCAGCCCAGUUAAACAUGCACACUCUGCAACACAACUGUGUACUCUCUACCUUACCAAGAGAACUAGCUGUGUUAGAGUCAAAAAAAUCUAUUGCAAAUAUAGCUAAUAUCACAGGGCUUGCUUUUCUUGCUGGAUGGAGCAGAAUUCUCUGUACUUCUGGCUUUUUUUUGAAAGCUGCAAGCCAAAUCUCAUAUGCAUCAAUUAGACUGUGAAAAUGUACUGCUGGAGCUGCCUGUGGAAUGUAACUUAAUGAUAAAUUGCAUGCAUGCUGUAGAGAGACAUAAUAGAAUGUUAUUGCUGUUGUUCAUCUUUUGGUAUUUGGUCUGCAGAAUCUGAGCUUGUUAAUCAGCAUUUCGUCCUGCUUUUACUCGGGUGCGUUCAACGCCAAGAGUUAAUUUCCUCUCUGUGCUUUUCCACGGUGUGACUGAGCCAUGGUGAAGUCCUGUUGCAUUCAGAAGAGCCGGAUUGGAAUGGGUGUAAUCCAGCAUCAAUCCACAGAAAGCACGGGAAUGCAACCAGCCAGAAGUUUGUGGAACACCAGUGUGCCCACAUGGCCUGCAGAGACAGGGAUGCUGGUGAGGACCAUAGCGAGGGCUGGGUGAGACAGGUAUGCCCUUUCCAGGGGCUCCAAAUGGAGCAAAAGCUGCACAUUUCUCUCCAUGGGCCCAUGCCCAACUUGUUCUUUGAUCCAGACAGCGCAAAAUGCACCACCUAAACCAGAGACAACAUGGGAUGGGUAACAGGGUUGGUAACGAGCCCCUAGCCCUGUUCAGGCAGUUCCAGGCAGGGAAAACAGUGGCAGCAGCUGGCAGUGCCCAGGUGAGGGCUGGGGGCUGUGAGCAGGGGCUGUUUGCCUGUUGAAAGGCAGUGAGACAGGAAGGGCAACAGGAAUUGCUGGAGCAGAGAGUCUGAGCAGACUGGAGGCAGGGUGAAGCCACCCCUGACAGACUCUGUCCAGAUCUCCCACACCUGAAUGCCCCUAAGUGCCCAUCACUCCAGCUCUGAUGCUAGACAGAGGGACCUGUUCUAAACAUCUAAAACAAAGGUGGAAAAAUAACGUUUGCCUGGAAGAAGGAUCUUGCAAGAUUUCAUAAACUCAUCAUAAGGAUUUAUUUAAAUACUGUGUUUCAAACCUUGCAUAACAAACAAAUAGAUGCAGAUAAUUUUUAUGCAUCUCACCAACACUACAAAAAAGACCCAUUUUUCUGACACUCAAUCAUAAUAUUGAAAAUAUGCUUCCUCCCUUGAGAUACUGAUAGCCAAGAUUGUCAAAAGGGGAGUUGUUUUUUAAUUCCUCCAACUGGGAAUAUUUAAAACAGCUUUGAGAAGAUCUUUGUCUACAUUUUGGUUUCCUACGUCUCCUUUCAUAAAUAUACUUAGUGCAAUUCAUGCAAGACAAAUCAGACUGCUUGUUUCCCAGCCAUAGUCACCUACUGCAAUGAGCUCACACUCUGCAUUGCUCAGUAUAAUAGUCAGUAUAACUGUAUUAGUAAAUGGGUCUAUGUAGACUAUUUAGGUCUGCUGAGAAGCACCAUAUAUUAGUCAGAUGGUCAGCUGAGCUAUAGCUUUGUGGUAACAAACUUUUGGUAUAUAAUCACAUCCACAGCCAUGUUCAUAAUAGUCUCGUGCAAUAACUCAGAAAUAUGGCAAAUUUUAUACUCUCUUAAGAGCAUUGCAGGCUUUGUUUGCCCUUUGUUCCCUUUAUUGUAUUGUAUUUAUAAAAGCCAUGGCAUUGAAUAUCUGAAUUAUUACAGCCUGGAAGAGAUUAAAGGUAACAACCAGAAACACAAAUGAGCAAAAAUUCCAGUUUUGAGUCCUGUUGUACUUGAACCUGAUGUUCGUCUCUGCCUGGAAAACUUUUUCAAAAUGAAGCAGCAUAAUCUCAGCCAAAACCAGAAAAAUGGCUGUGAUAACCAGAUGAGAGUGUGUGAUCACAUACUCCAGGUUCCUCAUUCAGAGCUGUGACUUCUCUCAUCUCACAAACAGAAAAGCCCCUUAGAAGAUACCUAGCAAGGAGGUCUCUCCACCUCACCAGAAGCCCUCUGCUCUCCACAAGAGCCACUGUUUAAUGCAGUUGCAUACCUUUCUACCAGCUUUUCUUUAAAUUAUCUGUUUUUCACUGGCUUGUCUUCUUUUUGAUGUUGCUAUACUUACAGAAUGAAAUGAACCUGGAGAUCCUACCUUUCAUUCAAACAGAGAUGUAAUUUCCCUAGAAAAUUAUUUCACUUUCCCUAGAAAUGUUUUCAUUUUCACAAAAGAGUCAAUGAAGCUAAUUUCUAAAGUGACAUAUAAUUUACUGAAGUUCAGACUAACAAGAAAAAUAGUUUGUAAAAGUAUACCUUUGUAGCUUUAUUAACAACUGCUUUUCUUCUACUAUUCUUAAUAUUUUGUGAUAUUGCACGCAGUAAGAAGAACUCUGAGGCAUCAGCAUUACAACAUGGCAUUAAUUCAGGAUGCACCAUUUGACAUUAGACUCAUCAGGCCUUUAGGACACAAGUUAGGCUGCGAAUUUCAAGUGUAUUUUUGGAUAAACUAUUUGCAAACGAGAUGUAUUCCAAAUAUUUGCUCAUUUAAUUAGAACAUAAAAGGUUUUUCUCUUUGACUGGACCUUGCUUCUGACCCUUCCUGCCUGUGUGUGGUUCAUAUUGUUCUUGGCUAAUGAGAUAUAGAAUAUGUACUAAACAUUUACACAUUAAAGCCGUCCUUCAUUCAGCAUGAAGGUGUUGAUACAUCAAGGAUACCUCAAACAUGCUGAGAUUCCAACAACUUGUCAGACAAAUUAGCACCUUACCAAUCAGGGGUAAAAUUGAGUUUUAUAUUUCUCCCUGGUGGGAAGAAAAAAAAAUCAAAAAUCACUGUUGUUUAAUGCUUUCUUUGUAAAUAUGAGCACAAAAAGCUUUAUCACCUCUGUAGUGUAAAUUAUAGCCCUCACUGACUAUCUGAUUUUUAAUUCAUUGGUUUUAAAUGAUCCCAGACAGUUCAGAGCUAUCCAUUGUAUCAUGCCUCUCUCAGGGCAGAGAUGUCCCCCCUUCUAAGCUUAUUUCUUUCACAAUUAUUUCAAAUUUACACCUAUAUAUUAAAAUGGAAGAAAAACAAAUCUCAAAUCUGUAUGUUCCGCUCGCAUAUAACUACCAGGGCUUUUUAACCCAAAUUCUAAGAAACACUUGGAAUUAAGAGACUGUAGGGCAAUUGAAAUAUAAAGGUUAACAUUUAAUAUUUUUUUUUUUAGCUGGCUAGUUUUGAUAAUUAGUUCUCAGUGCUUCAGAAUGCAGGUAUUCAGACAUACAGAGCACCAGAAAGACCAAGAUAAUCCAGCCACAGAAUAACUGGACUGGGAAUAAGGUUAAGGUCAACCUUGGGUGCUGUAGACAUUACAGCAGGAACCAGUGACCUCUAGAAUCACAAAUCAUGUAUGUACUGGGGAGAUCAUGAAACAAGUUGCUACCUACAAAAGGUCUGGGGAGAAGAGGUUACUAUCAUACACCUCUAAGAAAGGAACAAUAUACACAUCUAAAGAGCUUUAUGUACCUCCCAUGAUCCCAUCACAAACAUAAAUUUUCCAAGAUUAUGAGGUCAUCAAAUCAAAUAAACCAAUCAAAUCAAGAGGAGGCCUAACGUUUCUAUAGAGAUCAGGUAUGUACCUGUACAUCAUUCCUCAGUUUCCCCUUGGUAACUUCUUCAUUCUCAAUAAUCUCAAUUCAGUAGGGGUGGUGUUUUGGUUUUUUUUCUUAAUACAAGAGGAACAUUUGUGGACAACCUACCUGGUUGAAGUUGCUUGAAAUUCCCUUCAGAAGUAACAGUCAUCAAAUGAAUUUUCUCUCAGCUCUUCUUCAUUUACCAUUAAACCCUAAUAUCUAAACAAAACAUACAUACUUUUCUGUUCCACACCCGGGUAUCUGCUCCAUGUGACAGUUAUCCUAUGGCCACAACUUCCACUUAACUAGGACACGAUGCCUUAACUGGUGUUUGUGUGCAAUCAUCUUUGUUCAAAGAUUAUAUUAAACUCGUUACAGAAUAGCUGCCUGGGAAAAGAGUGUUACUAGAAGCAGGUAUUUAAUUCUGAGGAUGCCAAUUCAUUUUCUGCACUGUUUUUCAGAGCUGUCAGUACAACGAGUAGGGCUGUUAGUGCCCAGCAGCCAUAACAAGGCAGACAAAGGUUGCUGAAGCAGACACAUGGGAUUGAAUGUUGACUCUGUGGGCAUUGCAUAGGCACGUCAGACUUGUAAACCAGAUUCUUAUACAAGGAGCAUAAUAUAGAAAUCUGGAGAAGAUAAAAGAUUUGUAUUUUUCAUAAACAUUCACAAACAUUUUUCAUGUUUGUAUGGAACUUCAGAGCAACACUCCUGCACAGUAACAUAUAUUACAUAUAUAAAAACACUUGUGCUUGUUUUUGCCUUGAGGGAAAAAAAAAAAAAAAUCCAAAAGAAAAAGACAUAGAAAGUUUAAAUCCUUAAAAGAGAAAUUUUGGUCCACAUACAUAUAGUGACAUGAUUUAUAAAUAUGUAAUUAAAAGGAACAGAUUUACUGACAGGAUCAUAAAUCUGUAGAUAAGUGUUGGUAUUUGACUAAAACAAUAAUGGCAAGCACUAAUUGCAUGUAGUCCGUUGCAUGGCUACUGGAAUCAAGUAGUGAAGAGGAUCACAGUUCCUUAUUAGUUAGGACCACCUAGAGUGAGGGAAAGCUUGAAUGAUCAAAGAGAAGACAGUUUUAUGCUGCAGAUGCUGAUAUACUCUUGAGCUUUCUAGCACAAUUUCAGAGCCAGUAUGAACACUUGACAUACUAACUACUGAAGAGGGAAACAAAUGUAGUAUGAGACUACAAAAGUUUUGCUUGCAUCAAAGAUAAACAAAUAUUGUUCAGUGUUUCUAUUCCCUAUUGGAUAGUUUUGUAUUAGUGCCAGAACUCAACAACUUAUUUUGCCUACCUUAAUCAAGAAUAAAUUAGCCUUACUUCCUGAUACCAAAGCAUGAGAGAUCCUGUCCUGCCUUCUCUGAAUAUCCAUAGUAAUCACCCUUAAAUUAUGACUCAGUAAGAGUAGCAAUCGCCUCUGAGAAGGCUUUUGUUUAACAUAACUGAGGGACAUAAGCAGGAGACAAAUACAAUCAAGUAACAACCUGAUGCUUCCAGUAAGGGUGAGCUUUACUAAACAGUUUUACUCUCCAUACACAUUGGUUUAACAUUUCUUUUUGAAAGCUCUUCACAACUCCUGGCCAGACUACCUCUAAUUUCUCUAAAAUCACUAGAAUCUUAAGGGGUUAAGUACUUUGUUGUAGCAGGUGUAAUUGCUAUAUUUAAUAUAUUGUUGUUUAUAUUUAUACUAUUGUAUACACAGGGAACAUAUUAAAUGUUUCCUCACUAAAUAAGCAACGUACACUUGUAAAAAUAUUCAUGGGUAUUACAUCUCAGUUCUUUGAAAUCUUGAAUCAAGGAAAUAAAUCUUAAUAUAAAAUGGACAACUGCCUAACUAGAAAAGUUGCCACCACCUCCUUGCCAGUAGCUAAAAUCCACUUUCUCACUCCUAAAAUGUCAGGAUGCAGUUUGACAAAAGCUUAAGAGAAGAAUAAACCAGUGCAUAUGAUCAUGUGCUUCACUACAAAGUCAACAUCCAUUCACAGAGACCUUCAGCUUGAUAUAGAGAUGCCCAAUCUUAUUUGAGUUUGCUUUCUCAGACCAUUCUGCAACACUACUACAGAAUCAGGAAUGAGCCUAACUACUAAAUUCUGCCUUUUUGAAGACACCAUGGCAACCCUGGUUUAGCAUUCAAACAGAAAACAAAAUAUCCAUGUUCAGAUUUGGGGAAUCCAUUUAAACUUUUAGAAGAAAUGAGAGGCUGGGGCUGUCAACUUUGAACCAUCCCCAAGUUUAAGGUUCAGACUUCAUUAGUUUUGGCUAGGAAUACUCUCUAAUUCCUAACAGAGUUUCCUCAAGUUGCACUUGAGAAAUUCGUCUUUUUUUGUACAGUGUAAAGUAUUCAUAAAAAGCUAAAAACUGUGGGAAAAUUAGCAUUGAUGGAUGUUUUCUUAUCCUCCAUCAGGAAAUGAUGUACUUGAAACUCAUUACAGAUCUUCGUAGAAACUCUGCUGAAUGUGCCUUGGGCUUUGUGCUGAUCAGCACACACAGAGUUUACUGCAUAAUUCAUCUCUCUUGUGUCACAUUUAAUGUAUAACAUGUAUUUCCUCUUAAUUAUGAAAAUGAAAAUGUGUCCUUUCUUUUAGAAACAUAAUCAUGAAAUUACUACAGAUAUUAAAAAACAUGGAGUUGUGUUUUACCCAUUUUAGACAAAACUUCAAAUUUAAGUCAGUAUUACCUCCUACACAGAAAUAAGAGGAAAGCAUCACAUUAAGAACUCACCAAACAUGUUUUGCUUCUCCUUUGUGCACCAGACACAGCCUCUCCCCUGUGGCUACACAAGGAGAGGUGCAUGGGAUCCCUGUUGUCCCACUGACUGCCAGGGUCAUCCUUUUCAUUGGAGCCGUGGGUUGGCAUGUGGUCCCCUUAGCUUUCUACCUCAGAGACAGGUUUGGAUGUUUUCAUGUCUCUUUUCAAAGAUGUCAACAAAACAUUGGCAUCCUGUAUCUCAUUUUCUUCAUUCAAGGCUGAAGAUUAUUCAGUAAUAUUCUACUUCACUUCACACAUCCAUCUAUAUGAGUCUGUUCAGCUUCCUUUACCAAAAGAAUGAAGAAAAAAUAAAAUCCUAUCUUAGCAUCAUAUCCACACCAAUGUAUCUUAUGAGGUUAUAUUGUCUACCACCUUGAAAGAGUAGGAGAGGGAAAGAUUAAAGUGAUGGAGCAAGAAAAGGAAAGGAGCAACACCAUAAAUCUGAAAAUAUACCAUUCUUACUGGGAAUAGAAAGGAGAAGGAGGGAGUUUAUCAAUACACAAUGGUACAUUUGAUCCCCAUAUUCUUAUUAAUACAUUGACUAUUCCCCUUUGGAGAAACAAUCCUGUACCAGGAUUAUUUGCUCUGUGGCUGGUGAGGCAACUGGGUUAGUAUUUCUUUCAUCGUUCACACUAGCAUCAUGUCAGUACCAGGUUUUAGAGGGCUUUACUAAAUACCAAAUCAAAGUUGAUAGUCCAAUAGAUGUUGUAGACCUAUUCUAACCAUUCUUAUUGCUUGCCUGGAUUACAUUCAAGCGUACAGUGUCCAGUUCCCAGAGGAAAUUAUCUCUAUUUUGUGAUCAUAGGUAUGUGCAUCACAUUCAGAAAUGCAACCACAUGUAGCUUGAAGCCUACCUCAGAUGCUACAGCUCUGUACCAGCUGUGAGACACAGGGGAGCCACAAGUAAUCUGAACAGGAGGAAGCAAGGCAGCUGCCCUAGGAUCCAGCCAAACCGUGUUCCUCAGGGAAGUGUGAUAGGGCCCUUGCAGACAGAGUAUUAUCUUUCACUUAUGAGGCAAGGUCCCAUAGUUCUCUCUUCUCACAACUUUCAGGAGAUAUUCCCUUUUAACUCUUGCCCUCAUGAAAAUUUCAUUCAUAAUGGCUAAGGUCAGUAUAGUUGAUUAGCUGGCUAGAGCAACAUGAAGUUGUUUAUCGGCAAAUAUUGGCGGUGACCUCUAGAAAAUGAGUCUGGCUAAAAAGACUUAUUUAUCAGUAGUGGUGUCCAGGAACAAGGAUAAAUUUCCAUUUCCCCGGCUGUGGAAAGACCUGAGCAGAACCCCACCAAAACAUCUCUGAAGGAUGAGAGCACAAUUUUGGUGGCUUCUCCGGGAGGUUUCAACUCCACUAUUCCUUCUACAGAUGAGAAAAAUACAUUUAACUGCCACAGCUGAUGGUUACAGGGAUCAGGGUGUAAAAAAUAAACAAAUAAAUGAAUAAAUAAAACUGGGGGAAGAUUUCAUUUUUACUCAGCUGAUCUCUGUGAGAAACAAAAACAGCCUUGGCAGAAAGAAUGUAGGCAUUUUUAACCUUCUUCUUCCAGGUUAGCAAACAGUACAACACCACCAGUUACUGUAGCAUCUGAAUUUCUUAUGGUAUACUUAAGCAUCAACUUCUAGAGUCACAUGGCUGAGUAAAAUCACCCAGUGCUCUUUUUUUUUUCUUGAACCCUCUAUUCGUGAUUGUACAGAAAAGUUUGGAAGUGACUUCUAAAACCACAAGGCCUGGAAGGCUAGACAUGUCAAAUAUAUUCACUUAACUUCGAACUCAUGGCUUUGAAGACAAUCUCAUGAUUUCUAGAUGCUUAAAUCAUAUUUUAUUGAAGCAUGCGAUAGCAAUGCUGCAAGUGUUGGAACACAACUUUUAUCACUCUGAAACCAAAAAUACCUCUUAAAAAUCACUGGUAUAAGCAGUCACUCCUGCCGUUACGGGUAGCUGAACAAUGCUGCUUCAGCUUAUUUAGAAGGUGAAGAAGUAAAACAUUUCUGAAUAAUGUAAGCGAACAUGAAAAAAACCUGUAAAGAAAAAGGAUAAUGAAAUAUUCUUUUAUGAAAUGCAGGUAUUUUACAUAGUCAUCUUACAAUAAAAGCUUUUUCCAUCACAUUAGCAUUUACCUCAGGGCAAAUUCAUAGUUUUUUUUUUUUUCAAGGUAUUGAUUCUUUUCUAUAUCCUAAAUUAUAUUUAAGUAAUAAUUCUAUUUAUUUUUGUUUUCAUCUCUAGCUCUCAGUUUUGGAGUGCCUUGCCUUGGAACAGCCUAUUUCAUCAUUACACACUGCACCUAUUUUACACUUCUUGCAAACUUAAGGGUAUUUUGCCAUUAAAGGGUUUUUUGGCACUUUUUAUCAGUUGAAAGUUGGUUUAAAACAUUAUAAAAAAAAAAUGGAAUGAUUAAGAUGCAUUCCAUGCUAGAAGUCCAACAGCUCCAAAUGUUCUUCAUUUUUCCUUCCAAGCCCACAUAUUUCAUGAAACCUUCUAUUGUUUUAUUUUUCGCCCUCAGGUUUCUUUCACUCUUCACUGGCAUAAACAGAGAGACUGAUAUUCUUUGAAAAUGUAUCUGUGCAGAUCACUUGUCCUUGAAGUACAAUAUCUUAUUUACAAGAAUAUUUCAUUUGAGAGCUGAAUUAUUGAUAGACAGCCUUGACAUAAUAUUUGGGACAACAUAUUGUUGCUAUAUUAAACUAUAUUGUAUUACUUUCAGCUCAACAGAUGGAAUAGUUUGAUUUUUGUAGUUUUGAUCAUAGAAAUUCAGAAAUUUGACAAAGUGCAUUUAACCUGGCAGAUCAAAACAUACUCCUUAGUUUUGCUGAAGAAAGGCUUCACCAAUAUCUAAAUUUAAGAGGGAAAAAAAGUCUAUUCUCUCUGUAGAAAUAGGCAGCUCUUCACACUCCAGUCUUAAAGCUAAGAAUUCCUGGCCACAUAAUUACAUUUUUCUAAAAGUAAUUUGUCUAUUGUAAAGCUCCUACAUAAUGCAAGCAUGAGGGAAUUUUAAAUACAAUAUUGCAUGAAUGCUUCUCAAAACAACAAUUUUUCAACAUUCUCCGAAAUUUCUGUCAGCACACUUAGCAGCGUGACUGAAUCACACAGUCAGAAGACACCCAAACCCCAAACAGUACCUUACUAAUAGCACUUCACAAACCUGCUGUCUCAGGUCUCUAAAGCCCCCACGUGCUCUUCUAGCUCUGAUUUAGAUUGUCCAUGAUAAUCAUUGUUGAGAAAACAAAAAAACCCGUCUUGUUCUGAAGCCAUGCAAGGUUUAACUCCUACCUUUUCACUGGAACAAAAGUCCAUAGGUGUAAUGCUGCAGGGUCAGACCAGUGGGGUAGCUAGCUCAGUGUCCUGGAUCCAGCUGUGGUCAACAGUUUAGCACUAUUAGAAAUACCUAUGAAAAGACCUUUUUUUUGGUCAGUUGGUAAGAGUCAAAAUUAUCCCUAGCACCAAAGACAGUAAUUUGCCUUACCCACCCUUAAAGCCUUGCUAAGAUUAGUCACACAACUGUUUUCUUCUCAAGUAGUCUUACAGACUACUCAAAACCAAUCUUUUCUCUGCCACUAUCAUGAACAGAAUUUCACCAAAUUUUAUUGACUCAUCAAAGGGCACUUCUCCUGAAUAUGCAUCCGGACUUUUAUAUGUUUUAUAACACUGUCGGGUUUUGGUGCAACUGUAUGUUCAUAGAACAUACAGUAAAGCAAAUCUUCUCCUAUGUUCUUAGAACAUCACCUUGAAUCUAGAGACUCCUCAAACCAAAGCUCCUCUAAAGACAAUUUAGUCAUUUUGCCUCUGUGUUACAGUUACAUUGUCUAUACAUUUCUCUUUGAAGAAUAAGAAAAGAAAGUGGAGGAAGCCAGCCAGUGAUACCUGAAAAGGCUUCCUCAGCAGGGAUGGGAGUUAUUUCCUCAGCAAACAGUUUGGCAGUCGGAGGACCAUUAAGCACCUCUUUCAGCCCUUUACUCAGUGGAGAAGUAUCACCAGAGGGUGAUUAAGGAGAGUUGGAUUAGAGGAAUCCCAGCUUCAGUAUGGUAAUAUAUAACCAGAAACUAAUGUCUCCUGUGCCAGACUUGUUCUUCCUCUUAGAACAGCACGUCACUCUGCAUCAUGGAAAUGAAACAGCAGAUGUUUCCAAAUAUAGAGCAAGAUUCACUGUGCUUGUCAGCUGUCUUCCUGGACUGCAAACGUGCAUUAUAACUAUAGUGGCAAAAAGCCACUUCUACAAUACCUUACAAAAUUAGGAAGACAUCAACAGUUUGAAAUAAAGAGCAUAUCCGUAAUGUUUUUUGCUGCUAUUUGAAAGAUGCAGAGUGGAGGAGGUGGAACUGUUAGUAACAUCAUUCCUCCAGAAAGCCUUUUCAGCUAAAUCCCUGUAGAGAGUCCAGCUGGACGUCUGCAGGAGAAUUUGACACUAACAUCUACAGUAGCCAUUCAGUGGGUGCUAGCUGAUGAAAGAUAUGGAGCUCUUAGAAUAAGAAUCCUGUUGAAAACCUGUGGCAGCUUUAAAAACAAAACCAGGUACUGGUUUCCAAAAAGGAACAAAGUAUAUUGUGAACUUGAUACUCCUCUCAAUUUUCAGUUGAUCUUUAAUCUGUGAACCCACCCACAAAACAAGUGCUAGUUGUUUUUUAUUUUAUAUCUUUUUGAAACAGAGAAGGCAAUUGGUGAUAUGACGCCGUUUCACUAUGUUAGAAAUAGCUGUGCAAUUUGGAAGUGGUAGAGGGAGUGUAUUGUCGGGAGAUACAUGGAAGAUAAUAACUUCUUUAAGAUUCAUGGUGGCAGUAACUACAAUGAGAAAAAAAAAAAUGGAACUACAAAUGGACCCAACCUCAGAAUUUGCAUGGAUAUAAAAUUCAAUAUUCCUGGGAUUCCCAAAACAUAUAGAUCUCCGUGGCUGACUGAGCUGUUAUAUUCACCAGCUUUGAAGUCAGAUGAAAGUCUCAUUAUUCCAAUCCAAUGAAUGUAAUCUCCUCACUUUUUUCAGUAGGACAAGAGCCACUAGGGGAUACCUUUUACUGAAUGACAGAGCAUAUUGAGAAACAGUCAAAUAUUGGGAAUAAGCUCCAGGAUGGUCUUGUAUAGGACAUGAAAAGACAAGUCCAGAGUAAUUCUAACUGCAAAAUUGGAAUGUCUUAAUAGCGUUUGGUCAUUUCUAAGACAUAGUAUGCUGGGGAAAAAAAAAAAAAAAAAAAAAAGGUCUGUGGAAUGCUCAGGAUUACAAAAUUUCACUUAAAUGAGGAGACAACACCCGCUACGGUGUGAAGGACCAUAAUCUCUUGCAUUUAUGUCUACACCUGCUCAAGCAGUCCUCUUUUAGCAAAAUUGGAUCUAUUUCUUUUGUAACUGUAUUUGUUGAUUUUAACUGAAAUUUCAGAAACAAGAAAGCCUUUUGCCAUUCUAGUUUUUCUUGUCUUUGUUGUGCUCAUUCCACAACAAAGAUUAAGCUUUUAUUUAAACUGGAUGACCCAGUAUAUUCAGUUCAGCUGCUAGAUUGACUGUCACUGAGUUGUCAAAUGCCUGUUAUGAAUAGUAUACAGAAGGAGAACAAGUUGACCUUGAACUUGCUAAAUGUUUUAUGAAUACUAUCCAUUUCCAGAAAAAUAUGAAUAUGUUUUCCAGAUUUGCUCUUUUUGCUUUCCUUAAGCUGUUCUCUGUAACAAAUGCCUUUCAUCUUACUGAGAUGUUUGUUACAUGGAAGGUUUGGGAGAGGGCGAACAUUUUAAUGAUGAAUUUAAUGCUUGUGGAUUGUAGAGGAUUGAUUAUAUUGUAGGCUGGACUUCACUAAAGGCUAUGAAGAAUAUUGUUGCUAUAAUGUUAACAUUGCUUCCUAGGACCUGUCGAAUUCUGCUUUAUUAAUUUCCAUUACUGGGAUGAUUUGGUCUUAGUGACUAUUCCUUCCUCUUAACUGGCAUUUUUAGGCAAAAUCAGAGUAGAGAAUACUGUUUAAAUAGAAGAAACAAUGCAACCAUAGUUUGGAUCUUCCCAGCUCAUACAAGCCCGUGCAUUAUUUCCAAACAUAAGACUGCGACCUCAGCACCUCCAGAUGGUGUUGGAAGCGUGUAAUUCUCAUGUAUAUGCAAGAGACCGUAGGAGGAAAGGGGGGCAGUUAGUACUACAGGAUCUAGGUCAUAGGAUCCUGGUUGUAACCAACAGAGAAGUAUGCUAAAUAGAAUUUAAGACACUUGUGCUCAUCACUGGAUUUUGAUCAAACACUUCAAAAGUAAAAAAUAGCAGCUAAUUUACUCUGCCAUGAAAUAUAUUGGUUCCUUUUCAAAUACAUUGGUUCCUUUUCAAAAGCCACUUUCAGCUCUUUCAGAAUUUGUGGACAAAGUGGUUUCUAGCUAGUAUAUAAUUUUAAAUGCUUUUUUGAAAGCUUCUUGCAUGAUAGAGUUCAUAGCAACAGCUUCUGCUACUGCCUUAAGAGCACAAUAAGGUUUAAUAAGAAGGAUGCACUUCAGUUCAUAGAUUGCUUGUUUUCUGCUUUACUUUAUUCACCAUAAUCCUUACCUCUUCUUAGAGAAAAAAAAAAAAAAAAGGCAGCCAGGGACCAGUAUUGAUCUUCUCUAUCCCAAAGCAGGUUCCCUUGAUCUGGAUCGAACCUGUCUCUGUCAGUAACAGCUUUUCCAGGAGACAGUUCUAUUUAAAAUGUUUCACAGGGCAUCUAGUUAUUUGUUCAUUUGUCAGGAAUGGUGGGAGAGACUAUAAUAGACAAGCAGCCUCAGCUGGCUGCUGGAUGUAAGACUAGAUCCAGUCAUAUCACAAAGACAGAAUAAGAAUAUAUUUUCCGCGCACUGUGGAAAAUAGUUUUAUGAUACAUCUUGACCCAAGACUUAUUAAAAAAACCAUUAUCAAUAUUAAUUGAAAUUUAAAAUGCCCUUAGGAAUUUCACUGCAAAAUUUUUACUCUAAUGUUGGGUUUGAUGUUACAAAUGAGAGGUGAGUGGCAGGAGCUGCCAUCUGGUACACAUGGCAGCUAUCAAUUCCACACUGCAAGAUCUAUUUUCAAGUUGAAUGUACAAGGAAAUAUGUUUUCCCUCAGAGCACAUUCCCCAUCAUCUGUACCAUAUACUCGUAUAAAUGUGGAGAGAGGACAGAGACUCUCAUUAUAAUCUUGUUUAUCUAACUGAAACUAAUCUCAGUCUUGUGGUUUUUAAAGAGCUUCAUCUGAAGGAUAGCUUCAAAUGAACAUGGAUGUGCACAAAUAGUAGAAAUGAAUGGGAGGUGCAAGCAUGGUCCAGACUGUCCUGUGUCACUUGUAAUAUCACAAGGCCACUAACGUCACUUAGAGAGGCAGUUGGAGUGCCCAUUCUACAUUAGAAAUGGUGACAAGAAACCCGAGACCCGUUCCUUUUCUUCUGACACACUUACAAGACAAACACAUGCUCCAUUAAAAAUAACACAGCCCUGCUCUGAUAUAUUUCCCUCCCAUGUGUCUGACUUAAAAAUAUGCCUUAGUUCACAGUGUUAUGCUUAUUAAGAUAUAAUAUUACUGUUCUGCAAUGAGCCACUUCAGAGGACGCAGCAGGGAAGCUGGCUCCCAUUGUGCUAAAGAGGGCAGCCCCUUCCAACUCAGCACUGGAGCAAAACAUUCUCCUCUUGCAACACUCUCUUCCUGCAUCCAGAGUUUAUUUUUUUUAAUGUUUUCUGGUUUUGUUAUUUUCUCCAGCCAUGCUGGUUCCACUUCUGAAAAGCUUUCGUGACAUAAUUGACACUACAGCAGCUAGGGCUGGGAGCACUGGAAAGCAGCUUAUUACAUUUUAUUUUCUUUGCACAGGUCACUGAGCUUCCAGUAGGAUUUUACCACAUCUUGUUGUGGAGAGCUUUUAAUGCUAAUUUGUUACUAUUAUUUAAGAACAGUCUGCUGAUAGGGAGACUACUAGCAUGCUGUCUAAACAUCAGAUAUUAUUUUGACCUUGCUUUAUUCCUGCAAUAAAAUCUGAUCGCAGGUUGCAAAUGCAUGCUGUUAUUCAUACAUUAACCAACAACAGGGGUAGCCUACAUCAUAACUGUAUGUGUAUGGAAAUUAUGUAGGGUUUUGUUUUCUUCUUCUUCUUUGGUUCACCUAUAUAAAGGAACUCACGUGUGUCACUGAUACUUUGCAUUAAAAACGAUCCAUAAAAAUAUUAGGUAUAAAUAAUGCAGAAUGGCAGUGCACAUGUGAGGCUCUAUGCAAAGCUCGCAGUUGAAAUGAUAAAAGAUUGAAGUGAUUAGAAAUAUGAUUCCAAAAGAAGCAGAUUAGAAAAGUAUUCUGUUCUGUAUCUUAGUAGUAAAGACAAGUUUAGCUGCGUUUGUUGCACAGAUUUUUUGAAUGAGCAUGUACACGAGCACAGCAUAUCCUGGUUUAGGAAUGAAGGGGCACCAGAUCUUCCCCAGCAGGCUCACUAGCCCAGAGAUUCCUCACACUGAAAUUACCAGCGGACAGCCUGACCCCAGGGACAGGUUCACUGUCAUGUGGUGGCGGCUGUGAAUGUUUCAAAUAUUUAGUACUUAUGCAGACACUAGCUCUUCUUAAUUGUUUUUCCUUCAAAAUAUCUGCAGAAAAGCAAUUCAAUGAGUCUGGUUAAAGUGUUACAGGGUUUUGUGACUUCUUUUAAAAGACACUGUGCUUCUGCAAAUUUAAGUAUCAGUAUAAACUUCGUUUUUCAGAGCAGAAAGUUUGUCACAAAUUGAGAACAUUUAUAAGCUUUUUCUUUUUUAGUAUAAUUUGAUCAGCAUCACUCUUCUUGCUCCAAGUCUAAAUUACUGAGAACCUCUGUUUAAGAAUGAUUGUUUAUGCAGAAGGAUCUUCCAUUAUGAAUUAGAGCAGCUGAGGAUUUGGCAUGGGUAUUUACUCACUCCUUCCCAGAUUCAACUUCCCAUCUCAGCUGAGCAGGGGCUUCGGUUUCAGCCUCUGCUUGAGCCGCAUUUUUGAAUGGAAGUUUUUUCAAAAACCGUUGUCCACUCCAUUUAGCUCUCCAUAACCACUAGUAACAUGAUGCAGUUCUCAAGUAUCCGUUUCUCUCUCUCUCUCUCAAAAAAAAAAAAAAGCAGCUGUCUAACCCAACAUUGACAUAUUGAUGCUUCAUGUCAUAUAUUUCAAACCUUUACUACAAAUUUUCGUAUCUCCAUCAAGUCCUUUAGUCUUGGACAUACAAAUAAGGGGGGGUUGAGGCUGCUGUAGUAAGAAUUCACACAAGGAAUCUUUACAUGAACUCACAUGCUGAGGCUGGUAAAUAGGUUCACAAGGUGGGGUUUGACAUCCCAAGGAACUUCAUAUCUGAGGAUAAAUUAGGAAUGGUUCGACUCUGCCAAGACAAUAUUAAUUCUUGAGACCAGACCAUAGUAGGCAAGCAAAAAGGUCAGUCUUUCCCCAGGAUAACAGGGGGGUCACUUAAGCAAGUCCAAAACAGGAGACAUACUUCAUCUGCACAGAGCUGGGACUACAGCACUACAUAGCAGUGCUGCUCUGGGGCUUGUCACCAUGUGAGUGUCUCUACAAAAUAAAGUGCUAGAGUCAUACGACACAAAAUAUUGACCUUGUAAGCCAAGAGGGAAAGCAACACUUCCACACAAGACUUAAGGACAAAUUAAAAAAGAGCCAGAGCCCUCUUGGAAUAACAAGAGAAAAGGAUGCGACGUGGAUGGCACAGACAUGCAAGCAGACAGAAGAGCUGGAAAACUGUGAUGAACCUGAAAAGGUGUCUCGGUGCCUUAAAAAAAACAAAAACAAAAAAAAGCUGGAAGUUUUAUUAAAAAUACAACAAA